CAAGGAUUACACCAGUACACUCUCAUUUUUAUAUCAAGAACAGAAAAUUCAUGGGAAAAUGUGAUAGGACAAGAGAGCUGAGCUAAGGGGAGCGGUUGGAGAAAUUGGAGCAAGCUGUGAACCCUUAGCAUCCGUCUUCCUUCAGAGGCGGUCCGCAAUCCAUCCAUUCUCCUGUCUUUACGGAGGGAGGACUGCUCUCAGAUGAUGGACUUAUGGCUUGCUUCAGGGGAAGAGAGGAACACGUGAAAAGGCGUGCGCCCUUGAGGAUAUGCAGCGUUUCAUGCUUGGACUCCAUUGAAUAAGGUUAUAUAAAACCCUUGGAAGACAACCAAAUUUCUUGUUAUUGAGCAUAUCAGCUAUUGCCAUUGAAGAGAUUCUGAUCACCAUGCAAUGACCAAACAUAAUGGACAGACAUAAGCUGUAACUCAGGAAGGGACUUUACCCCAGGACUGCUGGCCAGAGCAGCGUCUUGCACUGCAGGAAACGUCUACCCGAGUGGGACGCACAGAGGGCAGCCGGCAGGUCUGCACUGAAAAUAAAAGCAUUUAUGUUCGAACUAAAAAAAAAAAAAAAAAAAAAAAAAAAAUCCAACCCUGGGCCAGAUGUGGUGGGACACACCUUCAAUCCCGGCACAGGGCAGAGAGAGUUAUUACCCAGCACCAUUCUCCUGGAACAACAAGAGUUUGCUCAUCCAGAAUCUUCACUCUUUUCUGUGUCUGUCCACAUACCUCCUUCAGCUGCUUGCUGUAACUUCCUGAGAAAAUCGGCUCCAAAAAGGCUGAGGAAGUAUAAGACAAACUGGAAGUUUAAAAGCUGUUUCCUUAGGUGUAGCGAACCAGUCAUAGUUGGUGUUUUUAAGACAAUCUUUCUGAAAGGCCCAAUUCAACAAACAAACAAUCAAAAUACCCCCAAAAUUUAACACUUAUAUGAUAUAUAAAGACGCAAAUUUUUAAGAUGAGUUUCCCGGUCAUGAAAGAAUGGUAAAAGGAAAUGAAAUAUGAGGCUGCCAUUGUCUACCGUGACGUUCACUGACUAAACACGGGUGGGGAAGGUUGCGUUGUUGGUUUCUGUCCAUUCAAGAUUAUUUCAGGCCACAAGUCCUCAGAAAUGGGUAAUGUAAAUGGGUAAUGUAUCUCAAUAUUGCAGAUACUAGUAAGGGAAGUUGCGAUAUGUAAGUACUAAAAAAAGAUCUGCUGAAAUGUUAAGACUCUUGUUCACAGCAGUCAGGGCUGAGCUACAGACGGGCUAUGGGCCUAGAGGAUGGCGAACAACUUCACCCUUGGGACUCCGCUUCCUGUGACUGUAGGUGACACUCACCACCCGUGCAUCCUCCAUCAACUCCUUCCAGCCCAGUGUUUCAUUUUUCUCCAUUUGAUUCAUUUGAGGCAAGGUCUCCUGUAGCUCAGGCUGUCCUGGAACUCACAUUGUAGCCAGGGAUGCUCUUGACCUUUCAAUCUCCUAAAUGCUAGGAGUAUAGGUGUGUGCCUCCUCAACAGGCUUAAGUGGUGUUGCGAUGGAACCAAGGGCUUUGGCAUAUAAGGCAAGCACUGUACUAAUUCUCUCUCUCUCUCUCUCUCUCACACACACCCCUGAGCCAUCUUAAACAUUUUUUUUUCAAUGCAGUUUAUUCAGGAACAUUGAACAAUCCUCGGACCCUGGGGAAAGCCAGCCCACAGCUUAAAUAGCCUCUGGGUAGCCAACCCAGGCGUGCCACGGGGGCAAUGCAGAUAGGUCCACCUACAUGGAAGCAAGCCAGAUCCUCGGCCUUAGCCAAAUGUGGAGUUGUUCGUGACAGAGAGCACUCACCAUCGGGAAGGUGGAAGGCGGAAACGAGCUCCAUCUUUAAGGCGCGGCAUUCUGCAGCUCUCUACAGUUCCCCCUUUUUGUUUUAGACGCAUCAGGCAAGAGUAGAGGUCUGAUCUCUGAUAUUAGAAAUAAAUUGGGACUUUGUACAGAUGUUCAUUUAGGUGUCAUCCACCCACAGAGCAUCAGACCCGUCCGAUACCUUUUUCUCAGAGGCGGGACCUGGGGCAUCUUAAACAUUUUAAGUUUCAGUGAUUCUGUAGUAUUAAUCAUAUUUACACUUCUGUGUGGCAAAUUUCCAGAUUUUUUUUUUAUCCAGUAAAGCUGAGAUUCUCAACUUAUCUGAUUAUAUUUUCACUUACUUAAUUUAGAAAUAUGUUACUUUUUAUUUAUUUACUUUUUCUUUUGGGACAGGUUUUCUACUGUGUUGCCAGGAUGGCCUCCAACGUCCAUGGAGCCCAUGCUGGCUUGGAACUCUCGUUCUUCCAAACGAGAGCUCCAAAGUGCUGGGAUUAUUGGCAUAUGCCACUUUCCCUGUCUGAUAUUUUUAAUUGUUAGUUUUGGUCAAGUUUCAGGUGGGUUGGUGCAGCCCCAUGGAUAUGAUAAUUACUCUUUCUCUAGGAAACAAGUAUUUCUCAUCAAAAACACCUAUGUUCACAAAUGUGGUACAUAAAACGCUCAUUUUCUGCUACACAUAACAUUAAUGGUAAGUAAUCACCCAGAAAAUAGGGAGUUUAAAGCUCAUCCUCCACCAUAAGAUGCUGGGUGGGUAUGUUUUAAGCCUUGAGCUCUGAUUCGGGUACAGAGGGAGGAUGGCAGAAUGGAUAAAGAUGUUUCUCUAGGAAGUUGGUGAUUAUAUUGUAGACCACCAGAUUACACGCAUUUUGCACACGAAGUGCAUACUGCGAUAGUAUCUGGAUAAUUGAGGUCAAAGUGAUUUUUUGGGGGCACCCAAUCUACCACUUCUCUGCCUCAUUUGGGAAGUUUAGAUGCAGCCACACUGUCAUGGGAAGGAGGCCUAUUUUACUUGAGUAAGUUACGAUUUAGUACAUUCGGACAUUAAUUGUCACACAGCCAGCAUACUUGAAGUCACAGUGUGAAAAGGAAUUAACAAUGAAGAAAAGGCAAGUUUUCCUCAUGUCCUUGUUUCUGAGAUGGGGAUGGACCUCAGCUCAGCGGUGUGCACAACCGCAGCACAAUGAGAACAAACACAAGAAUAAAUCCUUAGUUUUUCGUAUACAUGGCCACAGUCCAGUUCCUCUGACGAAUUCAUUGAACUCAUUGAAGCUAUAAAGAUAAAAAGUGAGGCCACAGUGCUUGGCAUUGCUAAGGCUUUUCUUCCUAAAAACCACAAAAUGAUUUUCUUUUAUCUUUAUUCCCUAUGUAUAAAUGAAAUGGUUUUACAAAAGACUGUGUGUGUGUGUGUGUGUGUAGUCAGUGGACAGCUGUGGGACCUGGUUUACUCCCUUCAACAUAGGACUCCCAGGGAUUAAACUUAGAUCAUGAAAGCUUGGUGGCAAUUUCUUUUACCUACUGAGCCAUCUCAGCAGUCCAUAUUGUGUUUCUUAAAGUCCAAUUGUUUUCACAAGUGAAGGUCACUUUACUUCACCUCCCCCCAAACAUUUUCAUCCCUAGGAGACUGGGACAUGAUUAAUAUUUUGUCAAGAAGAACUUGCAAAGGAUGGAGUGUUUCUCAGAUGAAAUGAAGGGUAUGAAUGAAUGAAUGGUAUGAGUGAGUGGAAUGAAUGAAAUGAAGGGUUUCAUUGUGUACCAUGAAAGGGAUUAUGAGUCCUCUGUGGCGUUGAAGAUGGGCGGCCAUCUUCCUUGCCAUGUGAAAUGCUGACUGAAGCACCAACGAGAUGCAGGGUUUGAAAGUGAGCUUGAAAAUGGCUUUCGGAGCUGGCAAAACCAUGCUACAAGAGCAGCAAUCCCUCUUUGCUUGGGCGAAUUGUUGAGGGGAAUGUCAGUGAGAAGAGCGGAAGUAGCGGGGAAAGGGAGGCCUUCCUAGGAGGCGACCUGUGGCCCUGAAUGGUAACUCCGCAUAGAGGUUCUACUUUUUAUCCUUUGACUUAAAGACAAAUCAUGCCAUUUAAAGCCAAACAAGUAGAAGACCACUUCUUUCUGAAGUUAGCUUCAUCUAUCUAAGUGGAUUUUAUUCAGCUGAUGAUAUUAAUUGGAAAUACCAUUUCAACAUCUCUUGGCCUUAUAGGAGUAAGUGUGUGACAGAACUCUGUGUUACACAUAGAAACCGUCAUAGCUUGGGGGUGAAAGGUGAUAUUUUCUCCCCUAAGAGAGAGGCCUAGUUCCUUUAUUACUCUUCAUUUUGGAACAGGAGAACACUUAAACAUAUAUUUUUUCUUUUUCUCCCCAUCUCUCUUGCUAACCUUAGUCAUUAAGAAAAACUGUGCAUUAGGCAAUUUUAUUUUGUGUUGCAUUGAGGCAGAGCUGUUGACAGGUCCUUAGAAGUCCCUUGGAGGACUCCCUUCAGAUAUGGAGGCCAUUCUCAUGAGCACAUUGAUGGGACCUGAGUUGAUUUGUGGACCUCAGAUAGGCCCUAAUAGCUGGCCACGUGACAACCAUCCAUCUGCCUACACACUUGCUCCCCGGGCCCAGAGGCCCUGGCUCAGCACUGUGUGGAGUGUGCCAUGAAGUCCCAGGCCAUUAGUGGGCCAGCAUUGCUUCACCCCUCACAGAGAAACAGGCAGAGGGCAGCAUAUUCUCCUCAGCCAUUAAGCACAGUUAUGAAGAGAUGGCCCCUGGGGGAAUUUAAGACAGGAUGGGAAGGCAACGUUACUUUUGAAAAUCCAUCUUGCCAGAUUCAGCGUACUCUAGACCUUCCUUUUAACCUCAGAAUCCCUCCCCAUGUGUGGACUGGGCAGUUAGACAGUGUUUACGUAUUCAUCUAAGGUGAAGAAGAUGAAUUUCCAGAGACUCAAUUGUUUUCAUAAAGGUGAGUGGCAGAGCUUGUGAUGUGAUCAGGUGCCCAUCUGCAGGGUAAAUUUGAAUGUCAGCCAAUCUGCUCACCCUUGUUUCUACUCCUUUCGAACAGCGAUGGGCACGCACAGCAAAUAGAUUAGCAUUCUUGCUGGCAUAUUGGAUAGUUCUUUUCAAGUAGGUGGUACCUCACAGAGUAAGUCUUGCUGAGGGCUGUGUGUUGUCAUUUAUGUUCUGCACCUUGGAGCCUCUGAAGAUUCUGAGCCUCUCAGAAAAAUGGGCCUCUUCCCUCUUGCUUCAGAUUUGCUGGCAGCCAGCCUGCUAACAGCGCACUGCUCAGCCAAAGAUGGAGUGCUAGUCUAGAGGGACUCAAAAUGGCUCUGUCGUUUUCUAGAUGACAGCCCCUAUUUUCCACUGGCUUUGGCACAUGUGCUAUCAUCCAUCUCUGUCAAGAAGACACUUGCUUAUCUGGUGGCUAGAAACGCUUUUGUUAAAAGCACGUGACCGCACUUCAUCAGUCUUCUGAGAGAGUUGUUGAUUUUGUUAAACUAAGUUUAAACUCCACUGUGGCUCUCUGAGCUGACAUCUAUUUUUAUUAGAUAUUGUCAUGAUUAUUUAUGCCAUCUACAAAGCAUAGAGGAACUUCAGAAAAAGGCGAGUUGGUCAGCUUAUGGAGCGAAAUGGAACAAAGGGCAUUUGCACAUUGGAGUGCACUCGCUAAUUUCAUUUUGUUUGUGACCAAACUUAAUUAGGAAAUGACUGGAUAAAAAGGAGAGCUGUGGAAAAAUAAAACAAAAUGUGAUCGCGGGCAAGAUGGCUCAGGGGGUAAAGGGGUCUGCCGCUAAGCCAACCCUGAGCACCCUCGUUCUAUCUCUUCAUCUCACAUGGCAGAAGGAGAAAUUAUCUUACUGACAAUUGUUUUCUGGCCUCCAUAUGAAUGCCAUAGCAAGGGGGCUUGCGUGUGCACACGUACCGGCACUCACACACACAGACACACAGGCACACACAACAUAAUAAAUGGAUAAAAAAAAAUGUAAACAAAAAUUAAAAAUAAAGUACAUUGUAAAGUUUGUUUCACAAUUGUUGGUUUGUGUUUGAAAGUUAUAACUCAAGCCAGGUCAUGCCUGGCUUUCAUCCCAGCACUUGAGAAGCAGAGACCGGUAGAUCUUUGUGAGUUGGAGACCAGGCUGUUCUAAAUAGUAAGUUGCAGGAGAGUCAAGGCUAUGUAGAGAGAACCUGUCACAAACAAACAAGAAACAAAAAUUUAUAAAUCACUCUGUUGUAUAAUUUAAGAAAUACUAUAAACUACCAAGUAACAGAAUAUGAAAUGUCCUUGAUUCAAAUUCAGUUUGAAGAAUAAAUUUUUAUUCACAUUGAAAAAUCUUUAAUUUUCUGAGAUUAUUUUGGUUUUGGUGGUCCCGGAUAUGUCUUUGUGGUUUGAGAAAGAUUGGACUAGGAGUUGUAUGAAUUGUUGUUUGGUUUGGUUUGUUUGCUUGCUUGCUUUUUAAUAAGACUUUCAAUGGAACCCAGAGCCUGCCCAGCAUCGCGGAGCCCCAUCUGAGGGGUUGUCACGGGACUAAAGCACUCUGUAAGUCUCUGAGGAGUUCUUACUGCUGUGAAUCUUUUUGUUAUAUAGAAGCUCACAGUCAAGAAGGUUCUUAUCAGUGUCCAACCCAAAGGAUAGUCUAUCUUAAAAUGAUUGUUGUAUGUGUGCAUAUUACUUUUAUCAUAGCACUCUGUAAGUAGAAAUAGGAGGAUUUCUGUGAGUUCGAAGCCAGGUUGGUCUAGAAAAUGAGUCCCAGGACAGGCAGAGCUACUUAGUAAGACCCUGUCUAAAAAAAUAAACAAAACAAAACAAAAAUUAUUUUUUAUGAUGCCUGUGAGUGUGUGCAUUUUUGUGUGUUCUGUGGCUUGUGUGUGGAAUUCAGGGGAUAAUUUUGUGACAUUGGUUCUGUAGUUCCAGCUUUUUCUGAUUCCCAGGGUUGAACUCAGUUCCCCAGACUU